AGGAUAUUGAGAAGGACCUUUGUCAGGAAGUAGAGGCCCAUGGGGUGUUGGGUCGGUAGAGAGACACAAAGAAAGACUAGAGGAUCACCUUUCAGAAUGUCACCUUGUAAGGAGGGUCGUCUGGCGGUUGGGUGCGUGGAGGGGGAGGCAGCCAAGUGCCACACACACACUCCUUAAGACUUAUGAGUGCAUCAUAACCUUGACCAAGACAAUCUGUUCAACGACACUUAGCGAAGAUUCCUCAUGAUGUCCCUAAGAGCCGCUGGGACUCGGCUCUUCUGUUCUUUCUGUGCGCUAUCAGCUCAGCGCCAGAUCGCCGCCCUUACCGUUCAACGGCCAUUACUCCAUUUGCAAGAUAAAUCUGGACUGCCGUGUCAAAUCAAUCACAACUGUCAUUUCAUCCACUCAGACCACAGCACUAAAUUAAAGCCUUUUUGGCCCAUAUGCAUUCCAAAUAGUCA